AACGAACGCUGGCGGCAUGCCUAACACAUGCAAGUCGAACGAGAGCUUCGGGUCUAGUGGCGCACGGGUGCGUAACGCGUGGGAACCUGCCCUUAGGUUCGGAAUAACUCUCCGAAAGGGGUGCUAAUACCGGAUAAUGUCUUCGGACCAAAGAUUUAUCGCCUUUGGAUGGGCCCGCGUUGGAUUAGCUAGUUGGUAGGGUAAAAGCCUACCAAGGCGACGAUCCAUAGCUGGUCUGAGAGGAUGAUCAGCCACACUGGGACUGAGACACGGCCCAGACUCCUACGGGAGGCAGCAGUGGGGAAUAUUGGACAAUGGGCGAAAGCCUGAUCCAGCAAUGCCGCGUGAGUGAUGAAGGCCUUAGGGUUGUAAAGCUCUUUUACCCGGGAUGAUAAUGACAGUACCGGGAGAAUAAGCUCCGGCUAACUCCGUG
rnacentral:rRNA from 1 species